AAAGUUAUUUAAUUAAUUAUAUUUCUAAAAGAGUGGUAGCAGGUUCAGAUGUAAACCUGCUAUUUCAAACAUGGUUUGGAUGCAAACCGCUCGCAAGUCUACAGGUGGAAAAGCUCCCAGAAAGCAACUGGCUUACAAGGUACGUACUGUUGUAACCUUAUUGUUUUUGAUCAAAUGUGUAUCCCACUUAUAUAGUUAAUGAUAUACCACACCUGACAAUGCAUUGAGCGGGUUUUUCAUCCCGUCGCAACGCGCGGCAAAAUGGAUCAAGAACGAAACUAGAUACAUACUUGGGUGGCCGUAAAAAUUUGAAGACUUGGGUGAUCUCCCUGUACAUCAUCCUUAAUAAUUUAAAAAAUGGUUAAUAUUUAUCGGUAUGCUGUAUGGCCCGUAACAGUACCAUGGUGGGACUAACUUUGGCCAUACUAUCGGAGGUCCGUUUAUUGCGACAAGUUAUGAUUACGAUGCUCCACUUGAUGAGUAUGGAGUGCCUCGACAACCGAAGUGGGGCCCCUUAAAAGAUUUACAUAAGGCUAUCAAGCUUUGUGAAGACACGUUGGUAGCAACCGACCCAACAACUACUUCUCUUGGUCAAAAUUUAGAGUGUAGGAUUGUUAAGGGGGCCGUGUCCGCGAGGUCGAACCCGGCUUAAACUUGAAUAUGACACAGACCUGAAAAAACAAUCAAAUUCUGGAAGCCUGGUGCAUCUGGCUGCACCGAAACAAUAAGGUUUUCAAUCGGAAAAACAGUUCGGUCAACAUGGUGGCGGAAGAAAUUAAAGUUAGCACUUUUUGGUGGAUGACAAGAAGGGCCAAAAGAGCUGGCCUCACUUUGGAUAGCUAUUUACAUGAUUGAGCAGGAUGCUUUACCAACAAUUCCAAAAUGUAGAAGCAUUUGCACGUAUCGAAAAAGAGCCAGGGCUUUCAUUUGAUGUGUUCUUUUUGUUAUGAAGAUGCCACUCAUAGUAAAAAAAAUUACUUAUACAGGUUGAUUAUUGCUGGGCUGAUUGAACUUCCAGUAGAUCAUGUGGAAAAGAAACUGUCAUAGAUGAUAUUGGACAACAACAUAGAACACUAGAUCAUGAUAUUGACUUAUAUAUGUUUUUUAUAUCGUUUUAAGGUUUGAAUUAUGCUACUGUCCCUUAUUAUCGACUCCGCAGCAACGCGCGGG